rnacentral:rRNA from 1 species
UGCCAGCCGCCGCGGUAAUACGUAGGGUGCAAGCGUUGUUCGGAAUUACUGGGCGUAAAGCGCACGUAGGCGGAUCGUUAAGUGAGGGGUGAAAUCCCAGGGCUCAACCCUGGAACUGCCUUUCAUACUGGCGAUCUUGAGUUCGAGAGAGGUGAGUGGAAUUCCGAGUGUAGAGGUGAAAUUCGUAGAUAUCAGGAGGAAAACCGAUGGCGAAGGCAUCUCUCUGGGCCGAUAUUGACGCUGAGGCGCGAAAGCGUGGGUAGCAAACGGGAUUAGAUA